AGUGUAAAGCAUGUAGUGUACAGUGUUUAGUGUGUAGUGUUUAGUGUAAAGUGUGUAGUGUAAAGCAUGUAGUGUACAGUGUUAGUUGUGUAGUGUUUAGUGUAAAGUGUGUAGUGUAAAGCAUGUAGUGUACAGUGUUUAGUGUGUAGUGUAAAGUGUGUAGUGUUUAGUGUAUAGUGUAAAGUGUGUAGUGUAAAGUAUGUAGUGUACAGUGUUUAGUGUGUAGUGUAAAGUGUGCAGUGUACAGUGUUUAGUGUGUACGG
ensembl:lncRNA